GGGGGGGGGGGGGGGCGGGCGUGGGGCGGGGGGGGCGGGGGGGGGGCCUCUUGGGGGGGGGGCGGUGGGGAACGGGUGGGUGACCCGUGGGCGCCCUGCCCCCGGCUCGGGGAUAGCUCCAGGAGCUUGGGGCUGCUCCCGUGUGUUCCCCUCUUCCCGCCGGUGUUGGGUUGCAAGCGGUUGCCGUCUGGGUAUGGGCCCGCGGCCUCUCAGCUUGUUGGUGGGGUCGUGGCCUCCCAAGGCGACGACGGGUAGCCGCCCUGAGCGGGUGACCGGCCACACUGGGACUGAGACACGGCCCAGACUCCGACGGGAGGCAGAAGUGGGGAAUAUUGCGCAAUGGGCGGAAGCCUGACGCAGCGACGCCGCGUGGGGGAUGACGGCCUUCGGGUUGUAAACCUCUUUCAGCAGGGACGAAGCGCAAGUGACGGUACCUGCAGAAGAAGCACCGGCCAACUACGUG
rnacentral:rRNA from 1 species